GGGGCGUUCAGGUUCGAUGUUGGCGGACUCCUAAUUCACUACAACGGGUUCGAUUCCCGUACGCUCCA
rnacentral:tRNA from 2 species